rnacentral:rRNA from 1 species
UACGUAGGGAGCAAGCGUUGUCCGGAAUCAUUGGGCGUAAAGCGCGCGUAGGCGGUUUGUCGCGUCGGGAGUGAAAACUCAGGGCUCAACCCUGAGCGUGCUUCCGAUACGGGCAGACUAGAGGUAUGCAGGGGAGAACGGAAUUCCUGGUGUAGCGGUGGAAUGCGCAGAUAUCAGGAGGAACACCGGUGGCGAAGGCGGUUCUCUGGGCAUUACCUGACGCUGAGGAGCGAAAGCAUGGGGAGCGAACAGG